GAUGAACGCUGGCGGCGUGCCUAAUACAUGCAAGUCGAGCGAAUGGAUUAAGAGCUUGCUCUUAUGAAGUUAGCGGCGGACGGGUGAGUAACACGUGGGUAACCUGCCCAUAAGACUGGGAUAACUCCGGGAAACCGGGGCUAAUACCGGAUAACAUUUUGAACCGCAUGGUUCGAAAUUGAAAGGCGGCUUCGGCUGUCACUUAUGGAUGGACCCGCGUCGCAUUAGCUAGUUGGUGAGGUAACGGCUCACCAAGGCAACGAUGCGUAGCCGACCUGAGAGGGUGAUCGGCCACACGGGGACUGAGAACCGGCCCAGACGCCUACGGGAGGUAGCAGUAGGGAAUCUUCCGCAAUGGACGAAAGUCUGACGGAGCAACGCCGCGUGAGUGAUGAAGGCUUUCGGGUCGUAAAACUCUGUUGUUAGGGAAGAGCAAGUGCUAGUUGAAUAAGCUGGCACCUUGACGGUACCUAACCAGAAAGCCACGGCUAACUACGUGCCAGCCGCCGCAGUAA
rnacentral:rRNA from 1 species